rnacentral:misc_RNA from 1 species
UAUUCUCAAUUCUCUUGGUUUCUGCCAAGGUGAUAUUGGAUUUGGAGGCUAUUGCUGGCAUCAUCUUAGAAGCCAGCUCCUCUUAAAUGAAUCAGUGUGAACAUUCACUUCAUACUUGGUGUGAUAAUUAUCUACACUAUGUUUGAGUGAUAGAGCUUCAUGCUUCGAAUCGUCGCAAGACACUACUUUGAC